AGCCCCGUCGUCUAGCGGCCAAGGAUGCGAGACUCUGGAUCUUGCGACCGCGGUUCAAAUCCGCGCGGGGCUA
rnacentral:tRNA from 1 species